UAAUGCUUGGACCAGCAGGACUGAGGUUUUAAAUGUUCCUUAUACUUUAAAAGAUGUGCUUUUAAAGAUUUUGCUUGAGUACUAAUCCCAGAACACUAA